rnacentral:tRNA from 1 species
UAGCUCAGUUGGUGGUAGAGCAUGGCGCUUGUAACGCCAGGGUAGUGGGUUCGAUUCCCAU